GACCAGCAGUAUCCAUUCAUAUUCUUUCAAAUGGGACUUCCAGAAUAAUGAAGAGUAUCCAAGGGCUCUUAAACUCUAGGUUGUGUGCUGUCCUUUAACAUUCUGUCCAAGCCACACAGAAACUUUCUAUGCUCCAUAUGAAACCAGGAUAUUUAACGAACUGCCAGUGACCUACGGUCUGUUUCAAUUCCAUAAGCAAGAGACUCAGGUAAAUUCAAAAUGCUCGGAAGCCAGGAAGUAAGAAACGUUACCAUAUUGUACCCUUCAGUCUUUUUUGGUCUAUAUUAGGAAACCGAAAACCCGUUUGAGCGAAUCGGAAUUGAGCGACACAUAUAGUGCGAACUAUGGUAACGGCGAACGUUCAAAACCGCAAAACAUGAAAUGUCGAAUUGUCAUGGUUGGCCCAUCUGCGGUAUGCACU